CACACCCCCCAAAAGAAUGUAAUAGAAUGUCAUCACAGGGCCCUAGUGCCUAUAUAAAUUUAUACAACUUUCAGCAACGGAUCUCUUGGCUCUCGCAUCGAUGAAGAACGCAGCGAAAUGCGAUAAGUAAUGUGAAUUGCAGAAUUCAGUGAAUCAUCGAAUCUUUGAACGCACCUUGCGCUCCUUGGUAUUCCGAGGAGCAUGCCUGUUUGAGUGUCAUUAAAUUCUCAACCUCACCAAUUUUGUCAUGAAGUUGUGUGUAGGCUUGGAGGUGGAGGGUUUUUGCAGGUCCACAACAGUGGUCUGCUCCUCUGAAAUGUAUUAGUGGGUUAGGCCCCUAAUCUAUUGGUGUGAUAAUUAUCUACUCCAUGGGUUGGGUUGGCUUGUCAUAAGACCUGCUUCGAACCGUCCUUCUCUGGACAACUCUUGACAUUUUGACCUCAAA
rnacentral:rRNA from 1 species